AGCAACUCGUGGCUUUGGUGAUGUUGUAGCCCGGAAUACCGACCAAUCCGCAAGCUCCUGUUUAUUCAGUCUCGCACGAUGGGGUCUGGCCGUCGCCCCAUUCAGACUGAUUUACCAUCCAGCUUUUUAUUGAAAAGCGUUUGAUAUGAGAUAUGAUAUUGCUGACACUGACGUGGACAUCAGGUGUGUCGAAUCUGCUGUCGAGACCAAAGAUAUGUACUUUACUCUCAUAGAGGAGCAAAAGAAACCAGAAAAUAUUCACAUUUAAGAAGCUAAAAUCAGAGAAUUUGGAUUUUCCCCCAAUCAAAACCAAUUCAUUAAAUAUAGUUGGCGAUUAAUUUAGUCGUUGAUGGUUUAUUGAUUAAUCGAUUAACUGUAGCAGCUCUAAUUCCAGACCUUGAGCACCUCAGCUGAGAAACUCCGUCGAGCGGGUUUUUUUCUCCUGGAUAUUGCGGAUAAUCCUGUCGUGCUGCGGGUGGUGGAUGGUGAUGUCAACUCACCUGGAUACUGAUCCCGUGGACCAGAGGAGUGGUGGGAGAGGAACCACGUGGGAUUGAGCUAAGGAUAAUCCAUUUUAUUUUAUUUUGUUUUAUUUUAUUUUAUUUGCACCCCCCCCCCCCCCCCCCAGAUCCUGAGAUCUCAGGUUGUAGAAACUUUGGCAGAAACUGAAUCUGUGGAAAGAAAACACUGUUCAUUUCAUUUCAAUGUAUUUUUUUGGAGUUGUAAAUCUGUCAAGUUAUUUUGUUACCAGAAUUUGCAUUAAGAGAAAAGCAGAUAUCUUUUAUACGUAUACAUUUCCUUCUUUUUCAUAAGUCGGUGGUCGUGUGUGGGCUGGGGGUCUUACUGCACUUCGCAGAGCCAGCUUUGCCCGGGGCCGCAAGCGUUGCUGCUGUAAAAAUACUGACAGGCACGCCAAAUGUUUAUUAAUUUACAAGUCAAAAAAUUUGUUCCCAACUAAUACAAUAAACACUCCUGUUUGAGUAACACAUGCUAAAAUCUCCAGCGGCCCCGUGGUUGUAAUUUAAAACCCAUUUGACCCAUUUCAAUGUCCAUCUAAGGAUCUAACAGAGGGACUCGGGGAGGGUCAUGGGCAGGUUAGGGGAGUCGGAAAAAAGUGUUGAGAGAUGGACACAGAGAAAAAAUAAAGAGCACCAAAUCAGUCCUUUUAAUCUCCAGUUCUGCCACGAUGAACUAACAUGAGAAUAUGUGUGUCUCCUGCUUAGUUUUCACGACAUAAGCAGCUGUGGGGCUUUUAUGGAAAAAUGUCCCCACUUUUCCGACCUUCCCCCAGGAGGCAGGAUACCUGGUUGAGUGAGACUGCCUUCCUGACUGAGAGCACCACUCAAAGAAUCCAGACUGUGGCUCCAAUCCAGUUGCCCUCUUUAAUAGAUUCACAGUGUUAUGUACGUACGUUGUCUGGUAUUAUGGCGUUGGGCCGUCAUCUCAUCACUGCACUGGCACUCGUGUGUGUCUCAAAGAGAAGGAGUUGUAAUUUGUGUGUUUGUCUGGGCUCAAUCGUGGCAAUCGAGGGACUCAUUUCACCGUGUUUUCAGUGUGUUCAUUCUGUCAUAUGUCACAGUAAUAUUAAAUUGUUUGUUACUUUCUUCUGUUCACACUGUAGAUUAGAAGUAAGAAGAUUGAGGCUGCGGUCACAGCGGUAUUUCAACUUGAAUGGCACUCAGUAAAGCACAUAUGCCUCUGCCAAGGCCCAACAGUCCCUCAAUCAAGUCGCACCAAAUUGCACACACUCAUAAAAAUCAGUCUCUUGAAUAUUGCCAGAUUUUGUUUCCCCCAUCAAGAUCCCUGGGAAAUUGGUGAAAAUGUACAAUAAAAAUCAGCACAAAAAUGUAAUGUUUUUAUUUCUUGGCCCAUGUCCCAUCAAGUUUCGUGGAAAUCUUUUCAGUUGUUUUUGCAUCGAACAAACGGGAAAACAAGGGCGGCAACCUCCUCAGUUGACGUGAUAACAAGAAAUUUCUGCCUGACAUAAUCACUUAAUUUGGACGGAAUAGUGGCAAUCGGUUGAUUUGUUCCAUCGGUCAUUACAAUCCUUCUUGAAAGUGCUGAAAAAGAAGAAAGAAAAAAAUAAAUAAAGGAAGGAAGGAAGCCA